UUAGCAGGUCAGUUCCUGGCAGGAACUGGAGGAGCAAGAAAGGGUGCUGCUCUCUGGCCACAGAAAGUCAGGGGAUAGCUAGAGUUUGAUUCUGGAAGCAUUUGUUUAAGCUGGGUUUGCAGGAAGAGAGUCCCUAAGAACUUUAACCCUGAGGUGAGAGUGAAGCUAAAAGUGGCUGGUAGGAAGAAGCAACAAUGAACUGAAAAAAAGCAGUGCCUAGCUACUGUUUACAGGGUCCAUGGUUUGGAAGCCAGAGUUAUGGGCAGGCCCAGUUCCCCUACCAUCUACAGUGGCAUAAGCCCCAUGAAGGGGAAAAUGCUUAUGGAGAGCUUGAACAAAGGGCAGAAUUUCAAGGACCCAGAGUUGGGGCUGGAGACCUUAGUGAGGGCAAUGGGACUGUUCUUGACUAUCCCAGAGGGGUUCAUUUGGACUUUGGGACUUAGCCAGAGGCCUGAGCCACAGAAGACUCACUGAGGUCGGCUGGCAGGGUUCCCCAGGGGUGAGAAAAGGACUGUGGUACCAGACCCAGCCACUAAGAGGCUCUCAAAAGGUCCUAGCACAAUGGGAAUCUGGUCUGUGACUGGGACUAUGAGGCAGUACGGCAAUACAAAUAAUCACAUGCUGAUCUACAGAAAUACUUUUGUACCCUGGCCAUCCCCACUGGCUUAAGAGAUUAGUCACUGAAAAAUGGAAAGCCUGGAGACUUUUUCCCCAUUUGAUGGUCUUGUGGUAAGCUGGGUCAUGUAUAUGGACCUGGAGAAGAAAGAGGAGGUGGCAUUCAUUUGGAUGAAGAGGAAUUUUGGACAAUGGAUUAUGUCUGGAAAGGCAGGUGUUCUGUUUCACUGAUCAGCUCUCUCCCCAAAGUGCAGUGAAGCAACAAGCAUUAGCUUCAGACUCUUGCGGCAACUUUAUGUACAGUGAAUUUCAUUGCAUAUGUCCCGCUUGCUGAUGCCACCAUGGCAAUAGGUAACACAUGAAUACAAGCCAAGUUUGAUUUAAAAAAAAAAUUGCCUCAGGUUAGGCGGUUGUGUUCAUAUCUAGGUCCCCAAAUAAAUGGCUUGACUUGUACUAGCACUGAGUGCUAAGAAAUUCCCAAUAGGUACUCAUUUUUAAAAACAAUAUUGGGCAAAGUCCACUGGGAGUAUGAAGCAGUUUUGCUAUAUAGAAAGAGUAGCAAGCUCCAGCAAACAGGCUGCUUUCAGUUAUCUUUGCACUAUACCCAUUUUUGGAGAAUAACUUUAGUCUAAGUCUAACUUUUCUAUGUUGCAGCUGUGCGGGUAUUGUAUUUCCACUAACCCCAUCUCCCAGGCACCUGGGAGAUGCAAGGGGCUAAUUAUCUGUAUUGUAAAGUUUGAGCUGAGGUUUUGGGGGGGGAACCCAGAGCUGGCGUU